AACGAACGCUGGCGGCAUGCCUAACACAUGCAAGUCGAACGAGCCCUUCGGGUUUUGUGGCGCACGGGUGCGUAACGCGUGGGAACCUGCCCCUAGGUUCGCAAUACCUCAGAGAAAUUUGAGCUAAUACCGGAUGAUGUCUUCUGACAAAAGAUUUAUCGCCUCUAGAUGGGCCCGCGUUGGAUUUGCUCGUUGGUGGGGUAAAGGCCUACCAAGGCGCCGCUCCAUAGCUGGUCUGAGAGGAUGAUCAGCAACACUGGGACUGGGACACGGCCCAGACUCCUACGGAAGGCAGCAGUGGGGAAUAUUGGACAAUGGGCGAAAGCCUGAUCCAGCAAUGCCGGGUGAGGGAUGAAGGCCUUAGGGUUGUAAAGCUCUUUGACCCGGGAUGAUAAUGACAUUCCCGGGGGAAUAAGCCCCGGCUAACUCCGU
rnacentral:rRNA from 1 species